rnacentral:rRNA from 1 species
UACAGAGGGGGCAAGCGUUGUUCGGAAUUACUGGGCGUAAAGGGCGCGUAGGCGGCCACCUAAGUCAGACGUGAAAUCCCUCGGCUCAACCGGGGAACUGCGUCUGAUACUGGGUGGCUUGAAUCCGGGAGAGGGAUGCGGAAUUCCAGGUGUAGCGGCGAAAUGCGUAGAUAUCUGGAGGAACACCGGUGGCGAAGGCGGCAUCCUGGACCGGCAUUGACGCUGAGGCGCGAAAGCCAGGGGAGCAAACGGG